CGGACGGGUGAGUAACGCGUGAGUAACCUGCCUUACACAAGGGGAUAGCCGUUGGAAACGACGAAUAAUACCCUAUGAAACUAUCACUUCGCAUGAAGCGAUAGUCAAAGUGUUAGCGGUGUAAGAUGGACUUGCGUCUGAUUAGCUAGUUGGUGAGAAAAAAGCCCACCAAGGCAACGAUCAGUAGCCGGCUUGAGAGAGUGUACGGCCACAUUGGAACUGAGACACGGCCCAG
rnacentral:rRNA from 1 species